GUGAAUCAUCGAAUCUUUGAACGCAAAUUGCACUCUCUGGUAUUCCGGAGAGUAUGCCUGUUUGAGGGUCAGUUUAAAUAAAAAGCGGUGUGGUGGCUGCCGUUCUUGGUGACGCACCGGAUGUGGGUCGUCUUGUCUUCGGUUAAGUGAGCUAAGAGUGUGUAUGAGUUUUUCGAAUGUAUUUCAAUGAUUUGACGUACGUUUGCGAUAUCGAAUACUAUUUUCGGGGAUCCUCCUGAUAGGAUC
rnacentral:misc_RNA from 1 species